rnacentral:rRNA from 1 species
GACGAACGCUGGCGGCGUGCUUAACACAUGCAAGUCGAACGGAAAGGCCCUGCUUUUGUGGGGUGCUCGAGUGGCGAACGCGUGAGUAACACGUGAGUAACCUGCCCUUGACUUUGGGAUAACUUCAGGAAACUGGGGCUAAUACCGGAUAGGAGCUCCUGCUGCAUGGUGGGGGUUGGAAAGUUUCGGCGGUUGGGGAUGGACUCGCGGGUUAUCAGCUUGUUGGUGGGGUAGUGGCUUACCACGGCUUUGACGGGUAGCCGGCCUGAGAGGGUGACCGGCCACAAUGGGACUGCGAUACGGACCAGAAGCCUACGGGAGGCAGCAGUGGGGAAUAUUGCACAAUGGGCGGAAGCCUGAUGCGGCAACGCCGCGUGCGGGAUGCCGGCCUACGGGUUGUGAACCGCUGUCGCCUGUGCCGAAGCGUGAGUGACGGUAAUGGGUAAAGAAGCACCGGCUAACUACGUG